rnacentral:rRNA from 1 species
UCCAAGAGAACUUUCCAGAGAUGGAUUGGUGCCUUCGGGAACUCUGAGACAGGUGCUGCAUGGCUGUCGUCAGCUCGUGUUGUGAAAUGUUGGGUUAAGUCCCGCAACGAGCGCAACCCUUAUCCUUUGUUGCCAGCGGUUAGGCCGGGAACUCAAAGGAGACUGCCAGUGAUAAACUGGAGGAAGGUGGGGAUGACGUCAAGUCAUCAUGGCCCUUACGAGUAGGGCUACACACGUGCUACAAUGGCGCAUACAAAGAGAAGCGACCUCGCGAGAGCAAGCGGACCUCAUAAAGUGCGUCGUAGUCCGGAUUGGAGUCUGCAACUCGACUCCAUGAAGUCGGAAUCGCUAGUAAUCGUGGAUCAGAAUGCCACGGUGAAUACGUUCCCGGGCCUUGUACACACCGCCCGUCACACCAUGGGAGUGGGUUGCAAAAGAAGUAGGUAGCUUAACCUUCGGGAGGGCGCUUACCACUUUGUGAUUCAUGACUGGGGUGAAGUCGUAACAAGGUAGGCGUAGUGCU